GUCAGUGUGGAGUAGUGGUUUGAGUGAUGGACUAUGACCCUGGAGACCAGGGUUCAAUUCCCUGCUCGAGCA
rnacentral:tRNA from 1 species